UACAGAGGUCUCAAGCGUUGUUCGGAUUCAUUGGGCGUAAAGGGUGCGUAGGUGGCGCUGUAAGUCAGGUGUGAAAUUUCGGAGCUUAACUCCGAAACUGCAUUUGAUACUGGCGUGCUUGAGGACUGGAGAGGAGACUGGAAUUUACGGUGUAGCAGUGAAAUGCGUAGAGAUCGUAAGGAAGACCAGUGGCGAAGGCGGGUCUCUGGACAGUUCCUGACACUGAGGCACGAAGGCCCAGGGGGGAAGGCAAAACACGGG
rnacentral:rRNA from 1 species